rnacentral:tRNA from 1 species
CAGAAAAUAGUUUAACAUAAAAUUCUAACUUUGGGAGUUAGGGAUCUAGUCUUAGUUUUCUGA